ACCAGGAUGGCCGAGUGGUUAAGGCGCCAGACUUAAGAUCUGGUCCUCUUAAGAGGACGUGGGUUCGAACCCCACUCCUGGUA
rnacentral:tRNA from 1 species